UUCUUUUUUUCCCCAAAUCAGCGACGUCGUUUCCCCCUUCUCCUUCUCCUACUUCUCCCAAAACCCGAUCCUCUUCUCUUCUCCCUCGUGUGCACGCCCUCACCCCCUCUGCCGCCGACGACAAGAGCCCUAGAUCUUCCUCCUCUCUUCUGGCCGACGCCGACGCCGGCAUCACCAGGAAGCUUAUCAUGCCGGCUGCCGUGAGCCCUAAUUGUGGUCACAAGAUUUCUGCCGAGCCUUCUUUCCUUUUUCCCGGCUGUGGAUCCAACCCAGACUUGACCUUGCCGUCGAGUGUCCUGUUCUUCUUCUCCGGUCUGAUCUGAGCAACCGUGGCAAUUACUGUGAUUUGCUUUGCUUCUGUUGGGCGCCGCUUCAUCUGAUCAACCGCAACAGCCGACCCUCUAUAGCCUACCCAAUUCCAUUGCCCAACCAGAUUUGAUCCGUUUGAUUACAACAGUGAGUAAUUCCAGGUAGCUGCGGCCAGAAAUUUUGGUAGUAGGUUCCUCAAGAUUGGAGCAGCUGUUUACCUUGAAAUCCAGUAGCAAACGACCCUUUUUCAACAGCAAGCAGUGGCUGUGAUUUGAGGUACCAGGUUGUUUAUGGAGUCGCUUCGAGUAUCCUACCUGUCGGUCCCCACAUCACAUCAGA